AUACGGAGGAUGCAAGCGUUAUCCGGAUUUAUUGGGUUUAAAGGGUGCGUAGGCGGUUUGCUAAGCGGGAGGUGAAAUGCCGGCGCUCAACGUCGGAAGUGCCUCCCGAACUGGUGGACUGGAAUGACUCUGCCGUGGGAGGAAUGUGUAGUGUAGCGGUGAAAUGCUUAGAGAUUACGCAGAACACCGAUUGCGAAGGCAUCUCACGAAGGGUUGAUUGACGCUGAGGCACGAAAGCGUGGGGAUCAAACAGGAUUAGAUACCCUGGUAGUCCACGCAGUAAACGAUGAUGGCUAACCUCUGGGCUUAUCAGUUCAGUGGCCAAGCGAAAGCGAUAAGCCAUCCACCUGGGGAGUACGACCGCAAGGUUGAAACUCAAAUGAAUUGACGGGG
rnacentral:rRNA from 1 species